GGGGGGGCGAGAGGGUGUUGGUGCCACUAAACACAGACACCGAGCUGAUCCGUUGUCAGCUUACAGCUGGAUCCCAAUCGGUCUCUGAGCAUGGAGAAGCAGGCAUGUAUGGAGGCACUCUUUUCCUUUAACAGCAGUCAACAAACUGCCUUUAGUCUGCUACUAGAAGCUAACACACACACACACACAAAGCAGAACCCGCACAAAUGCAUGUGUAUGUGCGCAUGUCUGCAUGUACACGCACACACACACACGCAGGCUAUUCCUCGUCCACCGACUGUGACGCAGCACUUAAUUCUCUGUGCUUUCGCACCACGGUUGUGGCUCUCACGACGACAACUUCUUCACCAAGAUGGAACACACAGGAGCUAGCUAGCCCGCACGCACGGCAAGUGAGCAUGAGCAGACUGCAGCACCUGAAACGUGUUAUGUUCUACUUCCCCACUGGAGCCCACGGCUUCAUUUCACAGGACUGAGGAGAAAGGAGAGCAUCGGCAAAAGAAUCAGCUUUCACCCUUGAGCUAUAUGGGAAAUUAAGCCCUCAGAAGACUGCGGAUGGGUCGGCACGUGUUCCAGCACUGCAUGACAAAAAAGAAGAGCUUCAUCCCCGUCAGGUCCUGAGGAUAUCACAGGCGUUAUUUCAUGACAAACAUAUUACAGUGAUUCAAAUGUUUCCUUUAGGCUUCAGAUUAGUAGUUUCUGGCAUCACAGUGCUGUAUGGAGUCAGAUAAAUUAAAUGUGUUCAGAUUUAAAUGUGACAUUUUCAUGUUCCCUCUGUCGGGUUGCAUUAAUAAAGACUUUCCAAUAACUUCA
ensembl:lncRNA